GGGAAUGGCUGUAUCCAUGGUGGAUACCCUGGACUUCAAAUCCAGUGGCAGGCAGCUUUAGUUGUCUGUGGUGGGUUCGAUUCCCACAUAUUCCC
rnacentral:tRNA from 1 species